rnacentral:rRNA from 1 species
CAAUAAGCGGAGGAAAAGAAACCAACAGGGAUUGCCUCAGUAACGGCGAGUGAAGCGGCAAAAGCUCAAAUUUGAAAUCUGGCCCUUUCAGGGUCCGAGUUGUAAUUUGCAGAGGAUGCUUCGGGAGCGGCGGCGGUCUAAGUCCCCUGGAACGGGGCGUCAUAGAGGGUGAGAAUCCCGUCUUGGACCGCAUGCCCGUGACCGUGUGAAGCUCCUUCGACGAGUCGAGUUGUUUGGGAAUGCAGCUCAAAAUGGGUGGUAAAUUUCAUCUAAAGCUAAAUACUGGCUGGAGACCGAUAGCGCACAAGUAGAGUGAUCGAAAGGUUAAAAGCACCUUGAAAAGGGAGUUAAAUAGCACGUGAAAUUGUUGAAAGGGAAGCGCUUGCAACCAGACUCGGCCGCAGAGGCUCAGUGGGCACGUGUGCCCAUGCACUCCUCUGUGGUCGGGCCAGCAUCAGUUCUGACGGCCGGUCAAAGGCCCCCGGAAUGUAUCCUCCUCCGGGAGGUCUUAUAGCCGGGGGUGCAAUGCGGUCAGUCGGGACUGAGGAACGCGCUUCGGCACGGAUGCUGGCGUAAUGGUUGUAAGCGACCCGUCUUGAAACAC